rnacentral:rRNA from 1 species
GACGGAGGGUGCUAGCGUUGUUCGGAAUGACUGGGCGUAAAGGGCGCGUAGGCGGCCUCAUAAGUCCGUUGUGAAAGUCAAAGGCUCAACCUUUGAAAGCCGAUGGAUACUGUGAGGCUAGAGUCCGGAAGAGGCGAGUGGAAUUCCUGGUGUAGCGGUGGAAUGCGCAGAUAUCAGGAGGAACACCAAUAGCGAAGGCAGCUCGCUGGGACGGUACUGACGCUAAGGCGCGAAAGCGUGGGGAGCGAACAGG